rnacentral:lncRNA from 1 species
AAGCAGCCUUCCGGCGUUCCUUUCGGAAACAUUCGACUAUUUUUGGCAAAAACGGCAUCAACUUAACUAGUUACAAUAAAAUUAUUUUUUGUUCGUUUUGGGUUAUUUUUGCAAAAAGAAGUUGGACUCGAUGGGGGUUGCCUACGUAUCUCACACCCUGUGAGAAUCAAACUAGCAUAGUUCGGGCAAAUAAAACAAACUAUUUAUUAAAACAAGAUUCUCUUUUUCUUUUCUUUUUUAUUGGAAAAUAUUGAACUUUUUUUGAAAACAAGACUCAUUUUUUUCUUUUUCAUUGGCAAAUAAAACAAAAUAUUUUUGAAAACAUGACCUUUCUUUUGUUGGCAAAUGAAUAAACUAUUUUUAAAAACAAAAUAUUUUAUCCUUUUUUCAUUUCCUAAAAAAUUCGACAAAGUUUCGACACUAUUUGACAUUGUUUUUUCGAAACGGACGAUUAACUCUCUUUAACCCUCAUACAACUAUUUUUCUUAACUUUUUCCAAUAUUCAAAAGCCAGUCAGCAUGCAAGUCCGAAGCAAAUAAAUGCACAAGUAGCAAGUAAGAUGCAUCAAAAUGGUCUUUUUUAUUUUUGGUAGUUCUGUCCUAUACACACCCAAACCCUGUGUUGAGCCUCCAAAGUCAAAUGAACUUGAUGCCUAUAAAUGUUCCUACUAGGGAUCCAGCAUGAGGUUGAGUUAUUGUAGGUUCAAAACCUGGGUAUUUGUUCUACACUGUGUACCCGAGCGGACAACUCGAGUCGAGGAUGGGGCUACGUACCGGGAACCAAAAGGCCACCCGACUUAAUAACUUUUUUGAGCCUCUUUAUUAUUUCAAGGUAUGGCACUAACAGAAUAGGCAGUCUCGACCAGAAAGCACAUCCCCGAAGAUGAGAAGAGAAGAAUUUCGUGCCAGUUUAUAUAUACAGUUCAAAUAAUGUCAAAGCGGUAAAACGCGACAUUUUGCACAUUAGGCCCAAAACAUGUAAUAAAAUCAUAUAACAAACAAAGCUAAAUAUACUAUUAUUCUAAGCUCGAAUUCUUGAACCCUAAACCAACUGUUUUGGGUUCUUGUCCCAGCAGAAUCGCCAUAGCCAUCACACCUCUUUUUUCCUACACCCGUAAGGGCAUAAAGGAGUUUUUCAAUUAAAGGACAAUCGAACCUGGAUUUAUUAUUAAAGAUUCAGAGUCUCCACUUGGGAGAUUUAUGGUUUCCCAAGUCACCGGUUUAGAAUCCCAAAUCGAGGAAAAGAAUGACUUUGUUUAAUAGUCCGAGAACCAGAAAUCCGGGUAAGGAAUUAUGUUAACCCGAGAGAAGAUUUUAGGUAUUGCUGAGUUCCGUGGUUCUAGUAUGAUCAAUCAACUGUUAUAUUCUGCUUAAAUUAUCUGAUUUUAAAUAAUUAUGAACCUAUGUAAAAAAUUUAACUUUUAAUUGCUUUUAUUUAAUAUUUUUAGAGAAAAUUACAACGUUAUUAAAACACAUCUUUAACCGCGUCACAUAAAUGCACCUGUGGCUUUACACAUAUUUUAGCAUCGUUGAUAUUUGGAUUUGGGUCACAUAAAUGCGCAUCCGAUUUAAGAAGAUAAUAUUAUUAAACUAUCGUGCCUAAAGUACUUUCGUAUUUGUAAUUUGCAAGGGUCAUGAAACUUAGCUAGACGGCAUGCCUCGGAAUCUAAGGAUCAAUUCAAGAUUAAAUAAAGUGAGGGCAAUGCAAUUAUCAUUUUUUUUGGAAUGGCGCACCUUAAAACUACUCUACUUAAAGGUUUCUAUACUAAUUUGCGAGGGCCAUAAUUAUUAUUAUCUAUUCAAGGCUCACCUCAUAUUCAUCUUUAGGGGUCCUAAUUAAUUAAAAUUAAAACAUAAUAGAAAUUAUAAGUAAUUAAUUAAGGGCUCAUGCAGGGAGGGACUAGUUAUUCCUACGGCCCCAUGUUCAAGUUUAAUCUCAAUCACAUUUGAAAGAGAUUGUUUCAUUUGGGCCCAAGGAUGAGCCCAAACCCCUGAAGGUACGGUAUUGACCCGACUCGAGUUCGAGUCUCAGGUAUAUUGAGGCUUUUUGAUCCUUGGAAGCACAAAGCCCAAACGGAAAUGCAACCUUUAAUCACUGACCCCAUUAAAGAGCAAAUAAGAUAAUCAUUAAUGAUUAAACCUUUUCAAGCAUGAUUAAGGCAUUUAUCUAUUUGGAAAAAUUUCAAAUAAGCAUUGCAUAUUUACUUUACUAACAAAUUGAAGCGACCUCUUUAAAUUUAAUACACAGUAUGAAAGAUUAAGUUCAGAUCUCAAAAACAAAAGAGAAAUGGCUUUGAGCUACUCUUAGAAUGGAGUUCAACAGCCGAGUUGCAAAGUAGACCCCUGAAAUCUAUUAAAAUUACUGAUGCAGUAGAUCACUCAUGCAAAAACCAGAUAACAUGGACUCUUAAUGCAUACUUACAUACAUGGUCCACAUUACUACAAAUCUUACAAUUAGCUAAUUGUUUUGAGAAGAAAAUUAGAGCAAAACGAGAUGCUGCAGUCCAGAUCUACAAAUUAAACAACACCUAAUAAUUACACCUCCCUUACUUUAUCCAAUCUAACAAAUAACAUAUGCAACAUUAAAUGCCACUUUCUUUUACAUGUUCAAUAGUAAAAGAUUGCAAAUAAUCAAAACAAACAGAAAACAAAGCUGACUAUGAGCACAAAUACUAUCACAUUCCUUGAUGUUUAUUUCUUCAAACCAACGAGUCAUUUCUACAUGUAUAGAAUCUAUAAUGUGUACCUGGAAUUGAAGGAAAUAGUAAAUAAAAGAAAUCAGAAGUUGAGUUUCAGCAUAUGUGGAAAACAUCAACACAGCCCCAAAUCCAGCAAUGAAACCACAAAAUUGAUUCCAAUUUCAAUGGAACAGUAGAUUCACAGUUUAAAAACCCAAAGAGGUGUAAUUCAAACAGUUGAUACCAACUUCAAACAAGCAGAUAACUCGAGAAAACAUCCAAAUCCGACCUCACUAACUAACUUUCAAGCAAUUUGAGAGUUUGAACAAAGAAUAACAAACCAAAAUUGAUACAGAGAUGACAAUUUUUGAAGUCUAGAGCUCAAUUGCAAUGGAACGGUAGCUGCCUCUUUUUGUAUUUUUCCUUUAUUCCCCAAAAUGUGAGUUGAGAAUCAAGUUAAGAUGCCUUUAUAGGCAAGUAUUUAGGGCAUAUUUAGGGAUUUUAUUUUUCUCUUUUAGUCAUUUUCUAAUUUCUGUUUUUGCUACUUAGUCCUUUAUUUUUUUUCUUGUUCCCCAAGUUCUACUACCCAAAUCUUGAAAUUCAAAACCAAACCCCACCCUAGAAGUUUCUCUUUCUGUUAUACUAAGAUUCUCUAACCUGAAUUGCCCAAAUUAACCCCCAAGCCAUCUGAUUUUACUUUGGGAAACCAUACGGGUCAAGUUAACCCAAAUAGCAAUCUCAAACCUAGGUUUGCCAACACGACCUAAUUUCCCUUCUUGGGCCUCUGUUGACGGAGCCCAAAUCCUGUCUAAAACUCACAAAAUUAAUGGAUUAACCCCAAACCAGUCCACUUCGAAAUGAAACAAAAAUAGAAACGCGCUGGAACUACUUAAAAACUAAACAUAGGAAUUGUGACUAUCAUACUUUGACAUAAUCAUGCAAACAACAUAUUGAUUAAAACAAAAAAUAAUGAUGAAAAGAAAAGAUGAAGCAUGAGGAAAUAAAAGCUGGGGGGGGACACGAGAAAAAAAAAAGGAAAAACCAGAAAGGUAGUACCAACAGUAACGAAUGAACGAGGCUUAGAAGAAUUCAGAUGUUUCUGAUUUUGAGCCGAAAUAGACCUCAAUCACGUGUUCUUGUGAAGAACAAACGAGCGAGGAGAAUUUCAACUCUCAUUCGCUUGCUAAAACUACUAAAAAGAACCCCGAGUGAUUUUGUUUCCCUUCUCUGUCUUCUUAGAUCUGAAAUCGACCCCACUUGGUGAUGAUUGUAAGGAAUAUGGUGAUGGAUUACGGGUUAGAGGUGAGUGAGGGUUGUAUGGUGUAGUUUUGGUGGAUCACCGGCUGGAGAUGGAGGUUCAGGGGUUAGAGACGAGGGGAGGGUUUGUUUGGUCUAUGAAACUUUAAUACACUUUUAAGAUAAACGAAGGGAUAUUUAGGACUAUUGGAUGAAGUGAAAUAGAGGGACAAUGUUAAUUUGCUUUGAAGAAACUCAAAAUGACGUAAUAUUGGUUUUACACUACGUCGUUUGGAUAGCAUGAGAGACUAACGUAUUUACAUCGGGUUGGGGUUGAUAUAGGCCAUAUCUGAACGGAAAAAGUUGAGCUUGGGAUUAAUCACCAAAGACUAAC